GUCAAAAGCUCUUCCUACAACUCUUGGUCGAGUUAAUAUGACAAAAAUAGAUACAUUGAGUAUGGAACAUCACAAGAAUCUCUAUAGCAGUGGUUACUGUUGCUGGAUUACUUUACUCUCUCAAACUCAUCUGUAUUUAGUAAGCACAUAAUGCUUACAUCACUAUGAAUCUCAAGUAAAGGAAAAGAAAACUUCUAACAUGCCUGCCAGAGCUGGAAAUGCCCUAUCUGUCAGUGCAUGGUCUGCUCAGGAAGAUGAACAUGUGCUCUCCUAGAAUGGCUUACAUGGUUCGAUAUAUUUGGAAUGUUUUUUGCCUCAGUGGAGAUGUCUUUUUUCCGUGCUUUUCCUAGAUUCAGAAAUGUUAAGAGAAGAAUACCUACAGUCUUCAAAUCUGAGCUCCUCUGUAUGCGGACCAUGGGCAGGUUAGCUUUUAUGGAGAACAUAAAGAACUGGAAUGCAAACGCAAGUGUGUACAGAGGGCCAGUUAAGGUACUCAUUCAGAAACCUGAAGGAUCAGCUAUGUCUUAAAUAACACCUCCUUCUGGGGACUUAAG
rnacentral:lncRNA from 1 species